UACAGAGGUCCCAAGCGUUGUUCGGAUUCACUGGGCGUAAAGGGUGCGUAGGUGGUGAGGUAAGUCGGAUGUGAAAUCUCCGAGCUCAACUCGGAAAUGGCAUUGGAAACUACCUUGCUCGAGGGUUGGAGGGGGGACUGGAAUGCUUGGUGUAGCAGUGAAAUGCGUAGAUAUCAAGCGGAACACCAGUGGCGAAGGCGAGUCUCUGGACAACUCCUGACACUGAGGCACGAAAGCUAGGGGAGCAAACAGG
rnacentral:rRNA from 1 species